AAGCGUGGAGCAUGUGGUUUAAUUCGAAGCAACGCGAAGACCUUACCAGGUCUUGACAUCCCGAUGCUAUUCUAGAGAUAGAAAGUUACUUCGGUACAUCGGUGACAGGUGGUGCAUGGUUGUCGUCAGCUCGUGUCGUGAGAUGUUGGGUUAAGUCCCGCAACGAGCGCAACCCCUACGUUAGUUGCUAACAGGUGAAGCUGAGCACUCUAGACGAACUGCCGUUGACAAAACGGGGGAAGGUGGGGAUGACGUCAAAUCAUCAUGUCCCUUAUGUUCUGGGCUACACACGUGCUACAAUGGCCGGUACAGACGGAGGCGAAGCCGCGAGGCGGAGCAAAUCCGAAAAAGCCGGUCUCAGUUCGGAUUGCAGGCUGCAAUUCGCCUGCAUGAAGUCGGAAUCGCUAGUAAUCGCAGGUCAGCAUGCCGCGGUGAAUACGUUCCCGGGCCUU
rnacentral:rRNA from 1 species